CCUCCCAUUAUAUUGACAGACACUACACACCUGGCAUUAAGAAAAAAACAGACGGUGUCCAGACUGACAACAAAAAUCACGAUACAGUUGAAAAGAGGAUAAAACGAGAAGCCAUCAGAAGUGUUUCCAGCGUACUUACAGAUUACUGACUACAAAAACACUUCCAGAUGUUACAGAAGGAAGCUUUCCUGUCAUAAUCAUUUUCUCUGCGUCACUGGAAAAUCUGCAUUCUCGAUGUUUGGUUUAUUGAUAAACUACAGUCAACAGAUGACAGACACAAUGACAGCAGAAAUGUGUGCACAAAUACUUUAAUUUUUAAGUGUGUGAGAGAAACUUUGUCAAUGUCUGGUUAAUGUUUUAGUCAAUUGUAAAUAAAUAAAUGCUGUAAAGUGAUAUCCCACAAUAAUUUAUUGUCUUUGU